rnacentral:rRNA from 1 species
CCUACGGGUGGCAGCAGUGGGGAAUAUUGCACAAUGGGGGAAACCCUGAUGCAGCGACGCCGCGUGAAGGACGAAGUAUUUCGGUACGUAAACUUCUAUCAUCAGGGAAGAAAAUGACGGUAUCUGACCAAGAAGCCCCGGCUAACUACGUGCCAGCAGCCGCGGUAAUACGUAGGGGGCAAGCGUUACCCGGAUUUACUGGGUGUAAAGGGCGCGUAGACGGGCAAGCAAGUCUGAUGUGAAAACCCAGGGCUCAACCCCGGGACUGCAUUGGAAACUGUGCGGCUGGAGUGUGGGAGAGGCAAGUGGAAUUCCUGGUGUAGCGGGGAAAUGAGGAGAUAUUAGGAGGAACACCAGUGGCGAAGGCGGCUUGCUAGACGACGACUGACGUUGAGGCUCGAAAGCGUGGGGAGCAAACAGGAUUAGAUACCCCUGUAGUC